rnacentral:lncRNA from 1 species
AGGUGCCAUUUUGCGUGCAUGGCACAAGCCACUAGGAGAAAGAACCAAAAGCAAAAAAAAAAAAAAAAAAAAAAAAAAAAACCAGGAAGGAAGAUUUUAUUUGCUAUCCCAAAUCUUUGCAGAUAGUGCUAAAUUAGGUGAUGAAACUCCUGUGAAAAAUAAAAGACAAGUAGCCUGCGGGAAAAUGCCAUAUGCUUUUAGCUUUGGCAAAUGACUGGAUGUUGGCAGCCUGUGGCCAGAAAACAUACUCUGUGUGUUUGAAUUCCUUGGACUUGAUUGAGACUUGUUUCAUGGUUCAGCAUAUAGUCUGCCUUGCUGAGGCCUUUGAGAUACUAUAUGAACUGCUCCAACAUUCUGAAGAGAAGGUCUGGAUCAUUUAAGUAGGACUUGCAAAGAAAGUGGCCUAGAUCCUUAGCUGAGCUGAUCACUUACCUCAAACCUAUAAAGAAGUGGAGGGGCCAAGAAUAGGUGUUGGAUGUCAGCGGGAGAGUUUCAUCAAAGAGCUGUCAGUUUCAUCUCAACCUUACCCUCCAGGAGAGUAUGCUAGAGAAGAGAAUGUUAUAAGAAACUCAUAAGAAGGAGAAAAU